rnacentral:rRNA from 1 species
GAUGAACGCUGGCGGCGUGCUUAACACAUGCAAGUCGAACGAAGCAGUUUAUUACGAUCCCUUCGGGGUGACGAUUUACUGACUGAGUGGCGGACGGGUGAGUAACGCGUGGGUAACCUGCCUUGUACAGGGGGACAACAGUUGGAAACGACUGCUAAUWCCGCAUAAGCGCACAGCUUCGCAUGAAGCAGUGUGAAAAGUAUUUUCGGUACAAGAUGGACCCGCGUCUGAUUAGCUAGUUGGUGAGGUAACGGCCCACCAAGGCGACGAUCAGUAGCCGACCUGAGAGGGUGACCGGCCACAUUGGGACUGAGACACGGCCCAAACUCCUACGGGAGGCAGCAGUGGGGAAUAUUGCACAAUGGGCGAAAGCCUGAUGCAGCGACGCCGCGUGAGCGAAGAAGUAUUUCGGUAUGUAAAGCUCUAUCAGCAGGGAAGAUAAU